UGAAUGUAAGCACAUACUUUGCAUACCCCAGAACUGGACGAAUACGGUGUAUGAGUCAUAAACAAUUGAAGCCCACCAUAGUGGAAGGCCUACGAAGAGAUGUUCAAAGCAUCUCUCGCUUAUCAACUUAAUAAUGGUUUGGUUGAGGGUUUUAGGUCUCAUCAUAUAUAAACAUACAUUUUAAUCUUAUUAAAACAAUUUUGGUCCUAUUACAACUAUUGGUCCAUUUGAUUGUUUUAGUUGUAUAUAAUACUCCCACUAUGCUUAUAAAACGGUUUUUAAAGCAAGAGUAUAUGAUACUAUUAACAUAAGGUUUGCAUUCAUUGAUGGACUAUAUAGUUGCCUUAGGGCCUUAGGAUGACUAUGAACCUUUGAUUAGAUCCAACACAAGCCUAGUGUUGAAUCUCGGUCUAGGGAUGGUGAUUGAUUUUAGUUACGCGUUUAAUCACAUUAAGGCGUGUUGUCUUAUUGGGCGUUGGACCCGCUACUCCAUUUUCAUGCAUAUCAAAUAAAACAAGAAAGGAGUACUUCAAAGUAAAUAUGAGCUUAUGCUUUACAACAUUUGAAUAAUACAAAUUACUUUAAAGUAAAGAAGAUCUUAU
rnacentral:lncRNA from 1 species